rnacentral:rRNA from 1 species
GGCGACCGGCGCACGGGUGCGUAACGCGUAUGUAACCUACCUAUAACAGGGCAUAACACUGAGAAAUUGGUACUAAUUCCCCAUAAUAUUCGGAGAGGCAUCUCUCCGGGUUGAAAACUCCGGUGGUUAUAGAUGGACAUGCGUUGUAUUAGCUAGUUGGUGAGGUAACGGCUCACCAAGGCAACGAUACAUAGGGGGACUGAGAGGUUAACCCCCCACACUGGUACUGAGACACGGACCAGACUCCUACGGGAGGCAGCAUG